rnacentral:rRNA from 1 species
AGAGUUUGAUUCUGGCUCAGAACGAACGCUGGCAGCGUGGAUUAGGCAUGCAAGUCGAACGGGAACCUGUGGAUUCAAGUUUUCGGACAAGAAUCCAUGGGGGAGAGUGGCGAAAGGGUGAGUAACGCGUGGGCAAUCUGCCCUCAAGUUUGGGACAACUCAGCGAAAGCUGGGCUAAUACCGGAUGUGGUUAUCCGUUGCAUGACGGGUGGACUAAAGUUGGGGACCCUUCGGGGCCUAACGCUUGGGGAGGAGCCCGCGUCCCAUCAGCUUGUUGGUGAGGUAACGGCUCACCAAGGCAUACGGGUAGCUGGUCUGAGAGGAUGGUCAGCCACACUGGGACUGAGACACUGCCCAGACUCCUACGGGAGGCUGCAGUCGAGGAUCAUUGGCAAUGCGCGAAAGCGUGACCAUGCGACGCUGCGUGGAGGAUGACGGCCUUCGGGUUGUAAACUCCUGUCAUUCGGGAAAAAUCGUCCGGUUCCCAAUACGGGCCGGGCUUGAUGGUACCGGAAGAGGAAGCCAUGGCUAACUCUGUGCCAGCAGCCGCGGUAAUACAGAGGUGGCGAGCGUUGUUCGGAUUUACUGGGCGUAAAGAGUGCGUAGGUGGUUCCGUGUGUCGAAUGUGAAAGCCCACUGCCUAACAGUGGAAUUGCAUUCGAAACUGCGGUGCUAGAGUACAGGAGGGGAGAGCGGAAUUCUUGGUGUAGCGGUGAAAUGCGUUGAGAUCAAGAAGAACACCGGUGGCGAAGGCGGCUCUCUGGAAUGGUACUGACACUGAGGCACGAAAGCUGGGGGAGCGAACAGGAUUAGAUACCCUGGUAGUCCCAGCUGUAAACGGUGCGCACUUAGUGUGGGAGGUAUAGACCCCUUCCGUGCCGGAGCUAACGCGUUAAGUGCGCCGCCUGGGGAGUACGGCCGCAAGGCUAAAACUCAAAGAAAUUGACGGGGGCCCGCACAAGCGGAGGAGCAUGUGGCUUAAUUCGAUGCAACGCGAAGAACCUUACCAGGGCUUGACAUGCAGCUGCAAGCCCGGUGAAAGCCGGGCCGCCUUCGAGGGUGCUGCACAGGUGCUGCAUGGCUGUCGUCAGUUCGUGCCGUGAGGUGUUGGGUUAAGUCCCGCAACGAACGCAACCCUUGUGUCUAUUUGCCACUCCUGUUUUGCAGGAAGCACUCUAGACAGACUGCCCGUACAAGCGGGAGGAAGGUGGGGAUGACGUCAAGUCAGUAUGGCCCUUACGCCCUGGCUGCACACGUGCUACAAUGGUCGGUACAGAAGGAUGCAAAACCGCGAGGUGGCGCCAAUCCUCAAAACCGGCCUCAGUUCGGAUUGGAGUCUGCAACUCGACUCCAUGAAGUUGGAUUCGCUAGUAACGGCGUAUCAGCUACGACGCCGUGAAUACGUUCCCGGGCCUUGUACACACCGCCCGUCACAUCAUGAAAGCCGUCUGCACCCGAAGUCACUGGACCAACUUGCAAGAGAGGUAGGUGCCGAAGGUGUGGGUGGUGAUUGGGAUGAAGUCGUAACAAGGUA